GUGAACACUCAGUGGACUGUGUAUGACUGCUCAAAAACUCUUUCAAACAUCACUUGUGUCAGAUUACAUUCACACUGCAGCAUCUUGUUUUGUAUAGCGCCAGAAAACAGAGAGGCUCCACCGACAUCUUUUUUCCAGAUGGCUGGCCUGUGGAGGACUGUGUUGCUGGUAUCACUGCUGGCUCCUGGACAUUUGGCUGCUGUGGACCAGAAUGUGCUUAGUGAUUUCACACAAUUCAUCACGCAGAGGUAGUUAUGGAAUACCUGGCAUGUACAGCCUGGCUGUUCGAAUCCCCCUCAGCAACAACCAGAACCAGAACAUAAACCUGCAGCAAGUCUUAAAAAGUGACCCUCCUGAACGUGUGAAGGAUGAGAUCAACAAAGAUAAUGUGGAUAAUGUGUACAUCGGCACCAGGGUGGUUGCAGCCAAAGUUUUGAAAUGGGAGGAAGGGGCUGCAAAGGCGGCUCAUGCAGAGUCACGUGUUGUUGACCACUUAGAUCACUUGUUCAGAGAAAGUAAGAAUAUUGAUGAUGAUUUGGUGCUUUUUUAUGUUUAUGCCUCCCCAUGUGUAGAAAAAUGUUCAGCUGAAAAACACCCAGAGAACAUCCUAAAAAGGAUCAAUCACAUUCUUCAGUGGAAAAAUUAUUCUUUUGUGUUUUCCAAAAUAUUCAAACCUAAAAAUGGUAAAAUCAACACUGACCAAGAACGCAAAGACGCCCUUCAGAAGCUUGCAACCUAUAAAGGUGAAUUUGGGUCAAUUGGUCUGAACAACAUAUUCAGAUGUGAUGGAGAACGUGGAAAGAUGCAGUGUGUAAGCUGCUCCACCAGCGGUCAAGUAACACCAUUUUGUUAUUCCGAUGAUACACAACCUGUUCCCAGACAGAACAGAGGAUGGAGAGGCAGAGAAAGGAGCAGGAGCAGGAGUGUGGAGAGGCCUAAGAACAGAGGGUGGAGAGGCAGAGAAAGGAGCAAGAGCAGGAGUGUGGGAAAGAGUAGGAGCAGAGGGUGGGGAGGCACAAGAAGGAGCAGGAGCAGGAGUGUGGAGAGACCUAAGAACAGAGGGUGGGGAGGCAGAGAAAGGAGCAGGAGCAGGAGUGUGGAGAGGCCUAAGAACAGAGGGUGGGGAGGCAGAGAAAGGAGCAGGAGCAGGAGUGUGGAGAGGCCUAAGAACAGAGGGUGGGGAGGCAGAGAAAGGAGCAG
rnacentral:lncRNA from 1 species